GCUUGCUUCAGCAACACAUAUACUAAAAUUGUAACAAUACAGAGAGGAUUAGCAUGGUCUCUGUGCAAGGAUGACAUGCAAAUUCUUGACUCAUUCCAUAUUUUU